rnacentral:rRNA from 1 species
AUUUGAAAUAAUAAAUUUAAUAUUUUAGUAUUUAGUAUUUUAUUAUAAUUAUAUAAUUAUGUAAAGUUUUAUAAUAAUUUUAUGUUUUAGUAUUAAUUUAUGAAAUAAUAUUGUGAUUUAUAGAUUUAGUAAUGUGAAUGAAUUUUAUAAAAAUUUAAUAAGUAAAAUAAUAUUUGUACCUUUUGUAUCAGGGUUAAUUAAUUUAAUUUAAUAAAAUUAAUAUUCUCGAAAGAAAAAGAGUUAAAUAAUAUAUUUAUUUUAUUGUUGAAAAAAUAAUUAAAAUAUAUAUUUAGAAAUUAAAUGUUAAUCGAGUUUUUUUAUAUCUAGUUUUUUUUGAAAUAAAUUUAAUUUAUAUAUAAAAAAUAUAAAAAAUUUAUUUAAAAAUUUUUUAUAUUUUUAUAUAAAAAAUUUAUGGGAUAAUCUAUAAAUUUAAAUAUAUAAUAAAUUUAAUUGAUAUUAAAAUUUUAUUGAUUUAGUAAUAAUUUUUAUUAAUAAGUAUUUAAUAAUUUAAUAAAUUAGAAUUAAAGAUUUAUAUAUUUAAAUAUUUUAAUUAUAAAUUUUAUAUAUAAUUAUUAAAAAAAAAUAAUUUAUAAUAUAUUUAGAUUAAAUAUAAUGAUUAUAUUAGUAAUAUAAUUUUAUGACUAUUGUGAUAAUAUUAAUAAUUUAUUUAUAUAUAUAUAUAAGGAAUUAGGCAAAUUUAAUAUAUUCACCUGUUUAACAAAAACAUGGCUUGAUGAUAAUAAUUUUAAGUCGAUCUGCCCAAUGAUUAAAAUUUAAUGGCUGCAGUAUAAUUGACUGUACAAAGGUAGCAUAAUCAAUUGUUUCUUAAUUAGAAUCUAGGAUGAAAGAAUUAAUGAGAUAUAUACUGUCUCAUAUAUAUAUAAUUAAAUUAAAAUUUUAGUAAAAAUGCUGAAAUAAAUUUAUGGGACGAUAAGACCCUAUAGAAUUUUAUAUUAAUAUUUAAAUUAAAUUUAUUUUUAGAUAUUAAUAUUUAAUUGGGAGGAUUAAUAAAUUUAAAUAACUUUAUUUUAAAUAAAAACUUUAAUUUAAGAAUUAUUAAUGAUCUUGUAUUAUAAAUUAAGAGAAAAAAUUACCUUAGGGAUAACAGCGUAAUAUCUUUUUAAAGAUCAAAUUGAUAAAGAUGAUUGCGACCUCGAUGUUGAAUUAAGAUAAAUUUUAAAUGGAGAAAUUUAAUAAUUAAGUCUGUUCGACUUUUAAAAUCUUACAUGAUUUGAGUUCAAAUCGACGUGAGUCAGAUUGGUUUCUAUCUAUAAAAAAAAAUAAAUUAUUUGUACGAAAGGACUAUAAUUUAUAAUUAAAUUAUAAAAUUUAAUAAUUAAUAUUUAAUUU